rnacentral:misc_RNA from 1 species
AAAAAAAAAAAAAAAAAAAAUGCAGAACCAUAAUCUGAGUAACUACAAGGAAUUGUGGACGGUAAUGGUCUAAAAUUUGAAUAAUCAUACUAACAGCAUUCUCAAUGAAAUUUCCAAGAUAGUCAUUAUAAUAACGUACAACCAGAUUAAAACAAAAUUAAAAACUAACUUCCACGUCUAUACCUGCAUACCUUAUUAAAACAUGGAACUCUCUUAAUCUUAAAUUGAUGAAAGAUUCAUCCAAAAUCAGAUAAACAUAAAAAUUCCAUGUUUUACAUGCAAAUUUCUAGCAAUUGUAGUGCCCUACUCGCACAUUAUUCACACAGAGACAUUCAAAUACAAUGGAACAGUCAAUAGGAUGUGGGUCUGUCUUAAACAAUAAACAAGCACCAGGGAUAACCUAAUGUUAAGAAACCGAGCAUAAAGCAUGUACAGAUUGGAGACACAUUUUGACCCUCAUUUAUCAAACCCACAUUUAUAUUUAUCUCCUCCACAUGCGCUCUUCAGUCCUCACUAGUACGUAGUUAUAAACUAAACUCUUGAGGCAAAUAAUGUAAAGCAAGGAAAAGGGGAAACAAAUGUGCGAGAUGAUGAAGAUUUACGAGCAAAGCAAUGGUGGGUGUAUAAAAACAGACCUGAAAUUCUGGUUUCUGGUCCAAGAAGCCAAGUGCCAAAUUGUUGAAGUAUAAGUUUACAGAGAAGCAAAAACUAAAAUUCAAAUUGAAGUCUGAUUUUAAAGAGAAAAUAUACCAAGUAAUGAAAUGAAAGGAACAAGUUAGAAAUCGAAACCUUCUUCGUGUCUUAUAAUCUUGUCUCCUUCUUGAUUCCGCAUCAGCAGUAGCAGCAGAUAACAGGGUAAAGCAUAAGUUUGCCUUC